rnacentral:rRNA from 1 species
UACGUAGGGUGCGAGCGUUAGUCGGAAUUACUGGGCGUAAAGCGUGCGCAGGCGGUUCGUUAUGUCCGUUGUGAAAGCCCCGGGCUCAACCUGGGAAUGGCAAUGGAAACUGGCGGGCUAGAGUGUGGCAGAGGGGGGUGGAAUUCCGCGUGUAGCAGUGAAAUGCGUAGAGAUGCGGAGGAACACCGAUGGCGAAGGCAGCCCCCUGGGCUAGCACUGACGCUCAGGCACGAAAGCGUGGGGAGCAAACAGG